AUCCUUAUUAUUAUUAUUACUACCGAUAACUGUAUUAGAAUUUCAAUGUACAAAAAAAACUUGUUCAUAAAAAAUACAUAGUAAAAAUUUGGAUUUAACGCGGAAAAAAGGUUGGUUUACCCAUUUUAAAUACAAAAUUUUAGUAGUUUGAAGUAUAACCAUAUACUAUUUUAGCAUAAAAAGUUUCGGUGAAAUAGGCAGAUAAACCCUUUUAUAUGAAACACUUAAAACAAUUAAAGCUUAAUAUAAUAUUAAAUUUAGCUGCUUACAUAUAAGAUUAAUUAAUAAACGAACUCUAUAUUAACUGUCUUGAAAGCAAUAUCAACAUCAUAAAACAAAAACCAAACCUAUAGCAAGGGCUACACCAUGCAUCCUCUCUAGGAAGCUAGAAUAUCAUAUUCCACAUUAAAUUCAAUAGUAAAUUGUUCAUAUAUAUAACGAGUUCUUCCAUGAAAGUUAUCCCAAAAUUUAACGAAAAGGAGGGGGUGAUGACCGGAUGACAUGCCCGAUUGGCCAUGGUGGCAUGCUCAAUAUUGCUCGUGCAUAACGUACAUAAAGUUGAUGUGGAAGACGGUUUUGUAUGUUAUUUGGUGGUGGCGGUGAUGGAGAAGCAUCGACAGUGUAUCCGAUCGCCAAGGAGGGAAGGGUAAUUAGAGAUAGAAACAAUAAUAGGAAAUAAACAAAUAGAAGGGAAGCUAGUGAAGAAGAAUUAGAUGGCUUCAUUUUUGGAGAUGAGAUCUUCAAGAAAAAUAGAAGAUGGUUUGGGUUUAUAUGAAACAAAAGCCUGGGAUUAAUCCCUUUAUACAAAAAUUGCCUUUUUCAAAAGAAAGACAAAAAAAAAAAGGUAUUGUGUGAAAGUUGGAAGAAACUUCCGAUCUUCUGCCAAGAAAAUGGUUAUGUAACUUUAAAUUAUAUUUAAAAGUCAAACAUAGAAAAUUAGUGCAAUGAAAACAAAAUUCUAUGAAUAAAAAUCAAUUGUGUCUAAUUGAUAUCAGCCAUGAGAACAUAUACAUCCAAACUAAGGAAAAUAUCAAAUGAAUUCGUCUGAACAUGUGUGAAAAAAGAGAUUAUUUGAUGACAUUCAAAUACAUCUUAAUAAGAAAUUUUGAAUCAAUCAUAAAUUACCAGAAAUUUUGGACCAAUCAUAAAUUACCACGUUAAUGACUAAAUUAAUGACGAAAAAAUACAAAUAGUUGAAUUUAAUUGAACUCAUGAAUGGAUCAAUUCUUAUGUUGCAUGUUUUUUAUUAUGAUCGUUGAUCAAAUUAAUUAUUUUUAUCUUAUUAAAUAUUGAAAAAAUUGGACAAAUUUUUUAAUUUUCUUAAAUAAGAUUUCGAGAUUUUUGUUCACCAUUUUAUCCCUCACGUUAAUUGUAACUAAUAUUUCUUUUCGAAAAUAUAUAAUAAUAUAAUACCAUAAUUAUAUCAUAUCUCAUUUAUUAUGUAUCUAAAAACUUGACUGUUUAAUUUAUUUAAUGAAAUAUAAUUUAAUUCUCAUUUAUUAGUGUUCCAAUUUAAUUAUGGUAUAUAUUUGAGUCAAAUAUGGUAAUAAUAUAUUAAAUAUUUAUCACAAAAGUAACCAUUUUGUCUUAAUUGCACAUUUAACAAACGUUUUGUAACUUUGAUCAUCUUCUUCAACAAGAAUUUCAUACACUUUCGGGCGUUCUCACCCAAUAAUUUGACCGUCUGAUUUAUUUCUCAUCGAUCAAUCUUUCAUAUUUUGGUCAUCUCGUUCAACUUAUUUAGUGAGUGCAUAUUUUGAUUUAAUUUUUCGUUGAAGUUUUCGAUCAAAAUAAUGUGAACUUUUCGAUCAUCUCCUUCAAUUUAAUUAUUUCAAGUUAUUAAUUUUUUUUCUUAAAUUGUAUAAUAUAGUAUACAAUAUAUAAUGAACUUUUUUUCCAUUUCUUAUUUAAUACUACGUGCGGUUAAUGACCUUUUUCAAAUUUAUGGACUUCGGACUAUUUAUACUUUUUUAGGUGUAACGUCCAAAAAGUUUAAAUAACUUACUUUGAGUAUUACAUUAAAUGAAAUUGGAAGUUAUGAAAUUUAUUUGAUGUUAGAUUAAAUUAAAAUUAGAAGAUAAGGAAUUUAGUUGGUGUAAUUUUUUGAAUUAAUUAAAUAUAUAUAUUUAGGUAUGUAUAUUUAAUUAAAGAUUUUGGAAUUUUGUGAAAAAUGUUAUAACAUGAGAGCCCACUAUCUCGAGCUCUUCCAGGAUUAGAACUUUAGAACAUUCGAGGACGAAAGUUUGUCAAAAGAAGGAAAAUUGUAUCUCUCCAAAAAUUAAGGUAAUAUAUCAAAUGUAACCAUUUUUUUCCCAAGUAAUUAUAUUUCAAUAUAUAAUUAAUAUUUUUCUUCUAAACAAAUCCAAUUCAUUCUCUUUUCUUAUUUACCCAAAUCAUAUCAACUUCUCUCCACAAACAAUAUUUAUCUUUAUCCAAAUAAUUAAUUAUAUCUUAAGUAAUAGUUAAUUUUUCACAAAUAGAAUUAUCAUAUAUAACCACAUAUACAUAUCAUUAUCAUAUCUCUAACAAAAAAAAUCAAUCUUCAAUUUAAUUAAAUAAAUACCCAAAUUAUUUAAUUAAAUUUAAUCUAAACAGCACCAAACAUUCAAUUGUACUAAUUAAUUAAAUAUUCAACUAAAAAAUAUUUAAUUAAUUUAUUUCUACAAAACCAUCAAUUCUAAAUCAAAUAUUUCAAAUUAACGUCUACUAGUUAUAACAUAAUUAAAUAAAAUUAAGAUAAUUAUAUUCAAUAUUACCUUAAUCGUUGGGGGUUACAAUCUUCCCUCCGGUGUGAAACUUUCAUCUUCGAAAGUUCUAUUCAUCGAACAACUUGAAAUAUUAGACUCUCAUAUUUUAACAUUUUUCAUCAAAUUCCAAAAUCUUUAAUUAAAGAUACAUACCUAUGUAUAUAUAUUUAAUUAACUGAACACAUUACACUAAAUAAAUUCUUUACCUAAUUUUAAUCUAACACUAAAUAAAUUUCAUAACUUUCAUUUCCAUUUAAUGCAAUACUCAUAAUAAGUUCCUUAAACUUUUGGGGUGUUACAAUCUUCCCUUGCUAAGAAACUUUUGUCCCUCAAAAGUUAUAGUCCUUGAACAAUUCGGGUAUCAUGCUCUGUUAGCUCUCAUUCCACUCUCCUUUAUUUAUUUUUAUUUAUUUUAAUAUCUCCUACAUUGUGAAAAACAAGUUAGAAUACUUUUUAUACUCCUUAAAGUUUGAGUCAUUUUGAUAAGAACAAUUAUAACCAAUUUAGUUGGACAUAAGACUUGAAUUCCGUUAGAUGUUGAAAAAAAUGAAGAUAAAAGCAAAAUGAAAGUUAAUUAUAAAGUGAGGGGCAGAAUGGUCUUUUCUUAAGAUCAUUCUAAGAAAAUUCGAAUGCUUAUCAUAUUCAAAAUUUAAAUACAUACAUUAUAUCAAAACAUAAUAUCAAUACAUACAUACAUUUUUUUAAAUUCAAUAAAUAGAUAUACAUACAUUUUUCAUUAUAUUAUGCACUACAUACAUACAUACAUUUUUCUAAUAUUUAACAAACAUACAUUUGAAUCUAAAUCCUAAAAACAUUCAUUAUCUUAUACACAUUCAAUUUUCUAAUUUUUCUUUUAUAAAAAGAUAAUAACCUUGUGGCGGUGAACGACAAUGGAGAACGGUGGGCGGCAAAAAGAACGGUGGUGGCGACAACGAACAACAUGAACGGUGGCGCAAGACAACAAGCUCUCUUCCUGAUCUCUCUCAACCCUCUUUACAAUUCUCUUUGUGUUUUUGUUCUGUUUUGUGUUCAUGAAGAAAGAAAUAGACCCGACAUUUCCCAACGUUCUAAAAAAAGUCAGGGUAACACACCAUCCUUGACGUCGUACAUGCAAACGUCAGAGAACGUUAAAACCUUCCUCGACGUGUCACUAAUGGUGUCGCAGAUAGGUUACAUUUCAAAUUUAUUAGAUAUUAUUUUUCCACGACAUGGUCAACGCGACAUCGGUCAAAGGGGACCUAAUUCUGACGUGCCUCUACCACAUGUAGGGAAAGUUUACGUAUUUACUAACUGUAUUAUUCUACUUUUCCUAACGUGUGUUAGGGACACGCCAAGGAAAAGUGAAACAAUUAUUUAAUUAAUGUUCCCACUUUCUCCGACGUGUCUCUACCACACGUUGGAGAAAGUGGAAACAUUAAAUAAUUGUCUCCAUCUUCUCUGACGUGUGUCUCUUGAACGUUGGGGAACAUCUCUAAAGCCGACGCAAGUAACAAUUUGGUUGGUCAAGGUCGAUGCCAAUUUUUCCAACAUCGUUUUGUAUAUAUUCAAGUAAAAAUAGAAAUAUUAUAGUAUCUAAAAGAACAUUGUUGACUAACCCGAGACAAAGAAUGUCGGUUCUUAACUAUUGGGAAUCAUAAAAAAUAGACAAUAAUAUAACAAUUUAACAAAAAUAAAUUUGUAAAAACAAACACAAGAAGACAAGACUUUAAUGUCGAUUUUAAACUGAUAUUAUUGGGGAUUUAUGAUGUCGGUUUUAUACCGACAUUGUUGGCCUCUUUAAUGUCAGCUUUAAACCAACACCAAAGCCCAAUCGAUGUUAAAGGACUUUAAUAACAUGAUCAUAGAUGUCAAUUUAAAAUAGACACCGUACCUCUUUAAUGUAGAUUUGAAACCAACUUCAAAGCCCAAUCAACAUUAAAGAGCUUUAAUAACACUAUCAUAGAUAUCAGUUGUCAACCGACAUGAAAACCCUUUAAUGUUGGUUUUAAACCAACAUUAAAGCCUAGUUUUAUACUAGCAUUACCUUCCAUCCUGGCAGGACAAGCACCAGGAUUUGCCCAAGAACUUAAAUCUCUAAAGCUUGUUAUCCUUCAUCUUGAUUAGGAAACACCGAGAUUAGUCUCGAGAUUAGGAUUCUUAACUUCUCUGCCUUCCAUUUUGGCUAGAUAAGAAUCGAGAUUAGCCCGAGAACUCAAUAUCUAAAGCUUUAUGUUUUUCAUCUCAGCCAAGAAACAUCGAGGUUAUCCUCGGGGUUAGGCUUCUUAACUUCUCUGCCUUAUUCCAUCCUGGCCACAAGCACCAAGAGAUUAGCUCGAGAACUCUAUCUCUAAAGCCUUUUGUCCUUCUUCUCGAUCGAGAAAUACCGAGAUUAGCCUCGAGAUUAAACUUCUUAACUCCUUUGCCUUCCAUCUCGGUUGGACAAGCAAUGACAUUAGUCCAGGAACUCAAUCUCUAAAGUUUUAUGUCCUUCAUCUCAGUCGGGAAACAUCGAGAUUAGCCCCAAAAUUUCACUUCUUUCUUCAAUUUCACUUAACUUCUCUAUCUUCCAUCCCAAUCAGGCAACACCGGGAUUAACACAAUAACUUAAUCUCUAAAGCUUUUUGUCCUUCAUCUUGGGUUGGAAAACACCAAGAUUAAUCCUAAGCUUUCACUUCUAACAUUUUGUGUGCCGUGUAUGCCACCAAAGAUGGAAAGAAAAUAAUUGCAAUUAGUUCGAGUGAUUUAGGUUUUUAUGGCCUUUUUUUGGUAUUUCACCGUCUAUUUUGAGUUUUGUACAUAAUGGGUUAAAAAAUUGCUAGGAGAUGUAAAUAUUUUGCCUAAUUAUUCUAUUUCAAGGAAUCUCUCGGUAUAAAACAUAUCUUUAAUUAUUUAAAAUUAAUUUUGUGAUAUCAAACUUAUAAAAAGGAAAAUUACAAUCUAAAACUGUAAAAUUAAAUAUUAAAUUAAUUAAUUUUGAAAUAAUAAAAUAUGGUGUUUCGAAAUAAAUAGUGAACAUAUUUAGCACUUCCAAAUCAUGACAUCCCAACAAUCAAUCAUCUAAAAACACUUAUUUGCAAAAGACAAUGCAUUUCAUCCCAUAGAAAUAAUUUAUUUCCCUCUACAACUACUAUAUAUUAUAAUAAAGAUUAAUUUAUAAACAAACCCAACUAGGUGUCACUUAAUUAAUUGAUUGAGUUCGUAUUCAAUAUAUUAAAAUAGAGUUUAUUAUGAUCCGGCCAAAUGUAACAAAACUAAAAUAGAAAGAAAAAAGUUCCAUAACAAAUUCAAUGAGAAAGAAAAAACAAUCCUUUUAACAUUAUUGAUGCUUCGUAUAAGGAGCAGAAGCCUCCUCCUUUCUGUGACAAAUGCUUCUUUUUUAAUAUCAUAUCUCACCUAUGUCGAAACUAAUAUUAAACUUUUUUCCCUUAAAAUGCAUCUGAGAAAAAUUCUUCUCACUUAUUUUUCAAAAUAUUAUUUACCUGUUUGAAUCAAAUACACAGCUCGAAAUACGCCCAACAAAUCUAGAAGGGAGGUGGCGGGGACUUUUUGACGUGAUUGGGAGGCCAUUGAAACUUGGGCGGUGGGGGAGGCGGCGGGCGUGCAACAGUUCCACAUAGUGGCGGUGGUGGAAGAUAUUUUCUGUGGUGGCGAUGGCGAUGACGAUUUUUGAACGGAGAAGAGUGGGCAUCAACAAGGGACAGGAAGCUUGAAGAAAGGAGUAAUAAUGUCACCAAAAUGGCGAAAAGGAGAGAAGACAUCGAAGACUUCAUUUUGUUUUGUUUUGGCGUUUUAAUGAAAUCAUAUGGUUUUGUUUGGGUUUGUAUAUAUAUUGUCACACCAUACCAACUACUCCCCGGCGGCUGUUUGACAUUUUCCAAAUUGGUGAGUGAGAAUUAAGUUGGGAUGUGAUAGCUAUGACCCCGUUCAUUUAUUUUUAAUAACUAAAUAAUUUUGGAGUGCCA
rnacentral:lncRNA from 1 species